rnacentral:rRNA from 1 species
UACGGGGGGAGCAAGCGUUGUUCGGAUUUACUGGGCGUAAAGGGCGCGUAGGCGGUCAGCACAAGUCAGUUGUGAAAUCUCCGGGCUUAACUCGGAAAGGUCAACUGAUACUGUGCGACUAGAGUGCGGAAGGGGCAACUGGAAUUCUCGGUGUAGCGGUGAAAUGCGUAGAUAUCGAGAGGAACACCUGCGGCGAAGGCGGGUUGCUGGGCCGACACUGACGCUGAUGCGCGAAAGCCAGGGUAGCGAACGGG